rnacentral:rRNA from 1 species
UUAGAGUUGAUCCAUGGCUCAGAUUGAACGCUGGCGGCAGGCCUAACACAUGCAAGUCGAGCGGUAGAGAGAAGCUUGCUUCUCUUGAGAGCGGCGGACGGGUGAGUAAUGCCUAGGAAUCUGCCUGGUAGUGGGGGAUAACGCUCGGAAACGGACGCUAAUACCGCAUACGUCCUACGGGAGAAAGCAGGGGACCUUCGGGCCUUGCGCUAUCAGAUGAGCCUAGGUCGGAUUAGCUAGUUGGUGAGGUAAUGGCUCACCAAGGCGACGAUCCGUAACUGGUCUGAGAGGAUGAUCAGUCACACUGGAACUGAGACACGGUCCAGACUCCUACGGGAGGCAGCAGUGGGGAAUAUUGGACAAUGGGCGAAAGCCUGAUCCAGCCAUGCCGCGUGUGUGAAGAAGGUCUUCGGAUUGUAAAGCACUUUAAGUUGGGAGGAAGGGCAGUAAAUUAAUACUUUGCUGUUUUGACGUUACCGACAGAAUAAGCACC